GAGAAACAUGUGAUAUCAGUUACAAAGACUAUUUUUUGUAAGAAGAAGAAAGAGUUUAUUUUUUGCUUAAUAAACUAAGUAAGGAUCUUUUGUUUGAGGUCUUUGAUAGGACAUUAAUAUUUUAAUUGAACUUUCAGCAUGAAUACAGCAAAAAAAUAUCAAAAUACAAUUAUAAUAGAGGCCCGCCAUUUUGAACUGAAAAGAAAUAGAAGUUACAAAUACAAUAGAUAUAGCAUUGAAAAUGAAGAAAGUACAUGGUUUUGCUUUUCUAUAAAAUCAAUAAAUUAAGAUAAAAUACGAUACAAAGUUAUUAAUAAGUUCCUGAGACAAAAGUAUGCAUUGCAUGCCAGUUUCUUCAUCAAAAGUUAAAGCCAAAGUAAAAGUCAAAGUAAUGUCUAAAGUAAAAGUAACGGUCAAAUUCAAUUUUUCUAUUAGUUUUGCUGUCACUUUAGCCUUGAAAAAACGUAUUUGACCGUUACUUUUACUUUAGACAUUACUUUUACUUUAACUUUUGAUGAAGAAACUGGCCGAAAACAGUAAUAAAUAUAAGUUAAAUUAUUAUUUCUUCAAUUCAUGUUACAAAUAAUUUCACAAGAUACAUAAAAAAUACAGGAUAUGUAGCAAUUGUAAACUGACCAAUAAAAAUACCUAAGAUUAAUUACAGACAUAAACUUAGUCGCAAGUAACGACAGCUUGACAUUUAUUAAAACUAGUUUUGAUUUAAUGUACUUACAGUAAAUUAAUUAUUACUUAUAGCAGACAAAUUACAAGUUAUAAUGGAGGUAAAUAAGCGAAUGUAACUAAUAAGGAUUUACGUUUAGCCGGUAAGAUUAUAUAAAUGUUACUUGUCUGAGUUAAAACUUAAGAACUACCGAUCGGAUUUUUGUACUGUUGUCACCAAAAGAUAAAGAGUGGUUCACGAGCUAAAUUUACAAUCUACAUACAUCUAUGUUUCUAGCCGUUUCCUAGGGUUCUUUUAGCACCCCGAGGCAACUGCUUCCCGCAUCCGAAUAAAAAGUAACCUGUCUUAACUCAGACUCUUAACUCCAGACUGUCUGCCUUUUUUUCAUUUAUCCCUAAUAAUAUUAUAAAUGCGAAAGUAACUCUGUCUGUCUGUCUAUUACGGUUUCACGUAUAAACCACUGAACUGGUUUUCAUAAAAGGUACAGAGAUAGAGUUGACCUUGAGAGAGAACAUAGUAUAGUUUUUAUCCCGGACUUUUGAAGAAUGCUCUUGGUAACGCGAUAUAACUGAACUCUACGCGGGCGGAAGCUAGUCCGAUAUAAUUCAGUAAGUAGUUAACAUACAGACAGAGUGUUUUGCAUUUACCUAUAACUUAAAUAAAGAUUUAUACAGAUGCAAAGCCGGGAACAUUUGCAAAUAAACAAUAAUCAAGCAAGUUGAUUAUAGCGUAGUUAUCCAUUAUGCACUUAUUUGAACACUUUUAAUGAGUUACACAUGACUUUGCAGAUGUAUCUGACUACGUAAACACAUAUCAUUUGUUUACAUUGCAGCUUAGGUGAUAAAGAUGACGUCUAAUGCAUUUUCAAGUACCUACAUAAUGAUAUCUAGCAUCUAGUACUGUUUACGCUAUUUAAAAUAUAAAGGCUUUAAAAACAUCAGUAUCUUUUAUGAGACUUAGGGAGAAGUUUAUCAAUUCGCUUUUUUAUAUUUUGUUAAAAGACUUUUCCUGUUUCUAAUCACCGUUGCAGCGUAAAAUAAAUAAAUAAACAGUAGAGAGGUGCUCAGAAACCUGCCAUUAGUGGUGUUAAAAUAUCAAUCUAAUGCAACACAAUACUAUAACCGCAUGAAAUAACUAGCUCCUGUUUGUGGCUUUGUUUGCGUAGUAUUUGAUUACCGGAAGUACCUGCCUACUUAUUCUCAUUCAAUGAUAUACUUCAUCUACAAUUUUUCAGGUAAGUUAAGGUAAAAUUUAAAGUUUUGUCUAAACAAGGGACCUAAAUACAACGCAAUAAGGUAUUAAAACUAUUUCUUAAUAAUUUAUAGUUAUAGGUGCUUACAAAAGUAGUUAAAAUGUUUCAAAAUCAGACCAUUAAUACAAAUGUAGGUGAAUACAUGAAAGGUCAAAGGUUUAGCCAAUUAAAUAAUAAAAGCCAAUGACGAUGCCACUCGCAAGAUUUAUGUAUACAGGAUGAUCCAUAAACUUUGCGCAAAUGUCAUGUUCAAAUGAGAAAAUUAGAUGCUAUAACAAUAUCGCUUUUAUUUAUAAUCAUUUACGGAUUCAGCCUAAUCUGUUAAUGUAAUUUCUUAAUUCAUCAUCAUCGUCCUGCACUUAACCCAAUUUUAUUUGGGAAUCGUCACAGUAUGUUUUCUUCUUCACUUCUAAAUUGAUUUCAAAUAAUUCAUGUGUCAUCAAUGUAUAUUAAGUAACUCAAAUUAAUGUUUCUAAGAUACUAUUCUGUUGAUUUUUCGUCACUUACAGUCAGUUGCUCACUUAGUAAUUGUAUAACCCAAAUUAAUUAAUUUUGACACUUAAAAUUGUAAUUUAUAGUCACCAUUCACAACUGAUUUGACAAACCAAAAGUCAUGUAACAAAAAAACAGCAACCUGUAUAUCGCAAAAUAAUUGCAUCAAAAUAUGCGCGCACGCAACAAGAUCUAGCGAAUGCACGCGAGAGCAAACUCAGUAUUCUUCUGACUCGCGCACUGUCAACACGUUUGUCAUUUAUUUUGAUUUAUUUAAAAGUUUUCCGCGAAAUAUACACUACUACGUAACAUUACAAAUAGGUAGUGAAAAAUAUUUGGGAUUUUUUUAUGAUGAAGGAAUAAUAAAUUGUUAUGUAAAAAAAAAUUGGACGCUCGGAAAAUGGAAAACUGAGAACUGUCUCGAGCUGACAUUGAGAGGAAAUUACCACGUUUUUGCAAUUGAAAACGUCACAGACAGAUAACAACAAAGAAUCUAAUUUGAAACAUAAAUAACUACCAUUAAUAGGAGGUUUGACGUUAAAAGGGUAUCGGUAAGACUUCGUAAUUUAUUAUUUAUUUAUCGUUGUUUAUAAUAAACUCUUCUAACGGUU